rnacentral:rRNA from 1 species
CCUACGGGAGGCAGCAGUGAGGAAUAUUGGUCAAUGGACGAAAGUCUGAACCAGCCAAGUAGCGUGAAGGAUGACUGCCCUAUGGGUUGUAAACUUCUUUUAUCUGGGAAUAAAAUGUUCCACGUGUGGGAUUUUGUAUGUACCAUAUGAAUAAGGAUCGGCUAACUCCGUGCCAGCAGCCGCGGUAAUACGGAGGAUCCGAGCGUUAUCCGGAUGUAUUGGGUUUAAAGGGAGCGUAGGUGGAUUGUUAAGUCAGUUGUGAAAGUUUGCGGCUCAACCGUAAAAUUGCAGUUGAAACUGGCAGUCUUGAGUACAGUAGAGGUGGGCGGAAUUCGUGGUGUAGCGGUGAAAUGCUUAGAUAUCACGAAGAACUCCGAUUGCGAAGGCAGCUCACUGGACUGCAACUGACACUGAGGCUCGAAAGUGUGGGUAUCAAACAGGAUUAGAUACCCUGGUAGUC